rnacentral:rRNA from 1 species
GCUAGAUGAUGACGAGCGGCGGACGGGUGAGUAAUACUUGGGGAUCUGCCUGAUGGCGGGGGACAACCACUGGAAACGGUGGCUAAUACCGCAUAAUACCUACGGGUCAAAGUGUGGGACCUUCGGGCCACACGCCAUUAGAUGAACCCAAGCGAGAUUAGCUAGUUGGUGGGGUAAAGGCUCACCAAGGCGACGAUCUCUAGCUGUUCUGAGAGGAUGAUCAGCCACACUGGGACUGAGACACGGCCCAGACUCCUACGGGAGGCAGCAGUGGGGAAUAUUGGACAAUGGGCGCAAGCCUGAUCCAGCCAUGCCGCGUGUGUGAAGAAGGCCUUCGGGUUGUAAAGCACUUUCAGUGGUGAGGAAGGGGUGCUAGUUAAUAGCUAGCAUCAUUGACGUUAGCCACAGAAGAAGCACCGGCUAACUCCGUGCCAGCAGCCGCGGUAAUACGGAGGGUGCGAGCGUUAAUCGGAAUUACUGGGCGUAAAGCGCACGUAGGCGGUUUGUUAAGCAAGAUGUGAAAGCCCAGGGCUCAACCUUGGAAUUGCAUUUUGAACUGGCAAGCUAGAGUUUUGAAGAGGGUGGUAGAAUUUCCAGUGUAGCGGUGAAAUGCGUAGAUAUUGGAAGGAAUACCAGUGGCGAAGGCGGCCACCUG